rnacentral:rRNA from 1 species
UAGGGAAUCUUCCACAAUGGACGCAAGUCUGAUGGAGCAACGCCGCGUGAGUGAAGAAGGCUUUCGGGUCGUAAAACUCUGUUGUUGGAGAAGAAUGGUCGGCAGAGUAACUGUUGUCGGCGUGACGGUAUCCAACCAGAAAGCCACGGCUAACUACGUGCCAGCAGCCGCGGUAAUACGUAGGUGGCAAGCGUUAUCCGGAUUUAUUGGGCGUAAAGCGAGCGCAGACGGUUUUUUAAGUCUGAUGUGAAAGCCCUCGGCUUAACCGAGGAAGUGCAUCGGAAACUGGGAAACUUGAGUGCAGAAGAGGACAGUGGAACUCCAUGUGUAGCGGUGAAAUGCGUAGAUAUAUGGAAGAACACCAGUGGCGAAGGCGGCUGUCUGGUCUGUAACUGACGCUGAGGCUCGAAAGCAUGGGUAGCGAACAGGAUUAGAUACCCUGGUAGUCCAUGCCGUAAACGAUGAAUGCUAGGUGUUGGAGGGU